UGGAGGAAAGCAGGGGAUCGUAAGACCUUGCGCUUUUGGAGCGGCCGAUGCCUGAUUAGCUAGUUGGUGGGGUAAAAGCCUACCAAGGCAACGAUCAGUAGUUGGUCUGAGAGGACGGCCAGCCACACUGGGACUGAGGCACGGCCCAGACUCCUACGGGAGGCAGCAGUGGGGAAUUUUGGACAAUGGGCGCAAGCCUGAUCCAGCAAUGCCGCGUGAGUGAAGAAGGCCUUCGGGUUGUAAAGCUCUUUCAGUCGAGAAGAAAAGAUUGUGACGAAUAAUCACAAUUCAUGACGGUAUCGACAGAAGAAGCACCGGCUAACUACGUGCCAGCAGCCGCGGUAAUACGUAGGGUGCAAGCGUUAAUCGGAAUUACUGGGCGUAAAGGGUGCGCAGGCGGCUUUGUAAGUCAGAUGUGA
rnacentral:rRNA from 1 species